GCCAGCACGGUAUAGUGGUAUAAGUGUUGGACUACAACUCUAGAGACCAGGGUUCAAAUCCCCGUUUGGCG